AUCAACUUGAUGAUUGGUAUUCCCCGUUGAUAAGUUAGUAAAUAAGCUUUAAGGACUCUGGUAGGUAAUACCAUUGAUUGUACCAAAGAGGCAACCCUAGUAGUGGGGAUGUCUCAGAUGUUCUCUGUAAGUUACUGAGGAGCAUCUUGUAUGCCUUAUCACAAUAUGACCAAACUAAAAAUUAUCAAUGUUUACUUCUGGAAUUUAAGUGUGUUGCCUUCUGUUUUUCACAUUAAUCCUACUUGAUGAAAUACAGCUAAUUGCUUCUACUGCACAAAUGUAAUAGGUUUGAUCAGGCAACCAAAGUA
rnacentral:misc_RNA from 1 species